GAAUCUUCCACAAUGGACGAAAGUCUGAUGGAGCAAUGCCGCGUGAGUGAAGAAGGUCUUCGGAUCGUAAAACUCUGUUGUGAGGGAAGAACAAGUACGAGAGUAAUUGCUCGUACCUUGACGGUACCUCACUAGAAAGCCACGGCUAACUACGUGCCAGCAGCCGCCGUAAUACGUAGGUGGCAAGCGUUGUCCGGAAUUACUGGGCGUAAAGCGCGCGCAGGCGGUCCUUUAAGUCUGAUGUGAAAUCCCACGGAUCAACCGUGGAAGGUCAGUGGAAACUGGGGGACUUGAGUACAGAAGAGGAAAGCGGAAUUCCAAGUGUAGCGGUGAAAUGCGUAGAGAUUUGGAGGAACACCAGUGGCGAAGGCGGCUUUCUGGUCUGUAACUGACGCUGAGGAGCGAAAGCGUGGGGAGCAAACA
rnacentral:rRNA from 1 species